ACAUAUUAUUACAUAAUCGCCAUGCAUAAGUGUAUUGUUUUUAGUAAAACAUCUGAAGUAUCGCCUAGCCACAUUAUGUUGGUUUUAAUUUGUAAUUUGUUCACAACUAUAGUUUUCCAAAAAAUGAAAAUAGAAGGAAAUAAUGGCUAAACAUAUUGUGCGAAUUAAAUGAUCAUCCUAAUUUCUAUCUGGCAUAGUGUCUGCGGAUUAUUUCACAAUUAGUGAUUGUAAACAAUGCUCUCAAAACAUAAUCCAAACCAUUCGUCUGGGAUAGAGUAGUAAAAUAAAUUUUAGGAACUUACAGCGUCAUUGGUACUACUCUGAUCACGACUAGUAAAUCACAUUUAAGAGAAAAUUGUGUUUCGAAUGAAGGUAUCGGUCUUGCUGCGCUGUGCCGCUGCGGUGGUAGACAACAGUGUUGUCUCCAGAACCGAAAAAUGUAAACGAGGAUGGAGCGUGACGUUGCUACUCAGUGCCGGUCGUUAGCAGACAAAAAAUUGCACAAAUGCUCGAGACGUGCAUGUUGGCCAGAAUAUUGUGUUUUUCCGACAAUGAAUGAGAAGAAAAUGUACAGACGAAUAAAGAAUAUGGAGACCUUACAGUUGAUAAAAGUAUCGCCUAGCCACAUUAUGUUAGUUUUAAUUUAUUUCCAAAAAAUGAAAAUAGAGGGAAAUAAUGGCUAAACAACUUUGAAUUAAAUGAUUAUCCCAAUUUCUACCUGACAUAGUAUCUGCGGAUAAUUUCACAAUUACUGAUUGUAAACAAUGCACUCAAAACAUAAUCCAAACCGUUUGUCUGAUUAGAGAAGUAAACUAAAUUUUAGUAAUGUACAGUGACAUUGGUACUACUCUGAGCAUGACUAAUAGCUUCUAUAAAAUUGUGUUUCGAAUGAAGGUGUCGGUCGUGCUGUGCUGUGCCGCUGCGGUGGUAGACAACUGUGUUGUCUCCAGAACCGAACAAUGUCUGCGAGGGUGGAGCAUGAUGUUGCUACUCGUUACGGGUCGUUAGCAGACAAAAAAUUGCAGAAAUGCUCAAGACAUGCAUGACGGCCAGAAUAUUGUGUUUUUCCGACGAUGAGUGAGAAGAAAAUGAACAGACGAAUAAAGGAUAUGGAGACCUUACAGUUUAUGAUUUUAAUUCACCCAGAAAAUCCUUAGAAACUUAAUAAUGUCUAAUUCACAUACUCUUAUUUUAUACAAUAGAUUAUACCUAUUAUGGUUUUCAUAACUUAUAUAUUUCAAAUAUCAUAUAUUUUGAUGUACCACAUACAAGGAACUAGGAAGUCGAGCCAAUGUAUUGACAAUUUUUCAAAUGUUGACUUUCUUGAAAAUAAUUCUGCCGACUUAGAUGAAGCCAUACAAUAUUGGAGUUCACGGAACACAUUGUAUAAUAUCUAUAAUUGUGUGAUACAAUUUUGCUGAGCAAGAAUCUAAUUUCAAUAACACAGAGGGCCUCAACAUAUUUAAAUUGCACGACUAGUAAAUCGCAUCUAAGAGAAAAUUAUAUUUCUCCAACGAUGAGUUUGAAGAAAAUGAACAGACAAAUAAAGGAUUUAGAGACGUUACAGUUGAUGAAUUUAAUUCACCCAGAAAAUCCUUAGAAACUUAAUAAUGCCUAAUUCACAUACACUUAUUUCAUUCAGUGGAUUAUUAUACUUAUAUUUUCCAAACUGAAAUAUACGAUGUACCACAUACAAGGAACUAGGAAGUCGAUCAAAUAUCCUGACAAUUUUUCAGACGUUGACUUUCAUUAAGAUAAUUCUAUCGACUUAGGUGAAGCCAUACAAUAUUGGAGCAAAUUAUGAAAUUUAAGGGUGAAAAUAUUGUUGUCAAUACAAUUUUGUUGAGCAAGAAUCCAAUUUCAAUAACACAGAAGAGGGCCUCAAUAUAUCUAAAUUGCAAAGAAACACGUAACUAGUUUAGACUUCAGUAUCUUUUAUGAAAGGAAAGUAAAUAUAGUUGGAUGACAGGUAAAAAUUGAAAAUUCAUAGGUGUUUUCAAAUACAUUGGGCAAAUCAGUUCUUUUAGCAUUUUCUAUACACCAUACAAUUUUUAAAACUUAUUCUUUUUGAGCUAACUAUAGGGGAUAAGACAUUUUAAUGGAAUCUUAUUAAAAUCAUAAGUUUUCUUUAUUUAUUGUCAUUUUAACAAAUCCCAUACCUAAUUGAUUAUAAUGUUGAUAGUAAACGGUUAUCAACUGCGUUUAUUUUUAGAAACAAAAAAUUAUUUUAGAACUUGUCACUAUUGAUCUGAUUGUUAUGACAAUUGAUCUGUAUUUUUAUUGAACUUUUUUUUGGGACAUUGCGAAUAAGUAGCAACUUGAUACAAAAUAAAGUUUUAUUGAAGUGUGCAAUCAUGUGAACAUCUAAACUUUCAUAUAGAUAUAAACUAAUAAGUUGUACACCUUAAUUAAUGGUACAGGUUAAUCUGAAUUGUUUAUUUUAUAUUUAAUAUCACAUUUAUUUAUUACUUAUAUCUUUCAGGUCCAUAGUCUAUGUGUUGCUGUUUAGUAGAUCAAGCAAUGGUUAUUACUAGAUUUAAAUGUUAAUAAUAAAAUAAAAUCUUAUUUACAAAAUACUCUGCUCAAAAAUUUAAAUAUUUACUUUCCAAAUACCUACUAAUAAAAUUGUCUCACAUAUUUUAUUAUCAUAAUGUUUUUAGAGUUUACACACAUAUUUUGCAUGUGUCUUGUUCUAAACAAUUGGAUCAAAAGCCACAUCCAGAUUUUAUCACACAUAUAAUUUGUGAUAUUGUAACAAUUGUACAAGAUUUUUGGAUAAACGUGACUUCACCUGUCAGAAUGGUUGUCAUGAGCAUAUAAAUAUAUUUUAUUGAAGAUGUUGUUGAUAGGCUGUUAAAAAAUUUGGAUUGUCCUACAUACAUACAUACAUGCAUACAUACAAAGUUUACUCGUCGUCAAACCCGUUCCCAUUCAUGGAAUUUACUUCUCAACAAGAAAAGACAUACCUCUUUGGAAAAGCGAACACCAAUUAUCUUCAGUUGCACUGUGAAUCAUCUUUGUGUAUAAAACUAUUUGUCUAAGACUUAUUUAUAAUUAUAAGAAAACUUUAUUUUUAAAUUUUAUAGUUAGGGAAAAAAGUAUUUAAAAUCUUUAUUAGUUAUACUACCAUAGUUUUCAUACUUGUCGUAUUUAUAUUUAUAGCUUAAUUGUAAAUUAAAAUUUAGAAAUAUAAUAUGACUAAUGUGUUGUAAUUUAUUGUUAUACUUGUAGCAGUUUUUUGUACAUAAUA